UACGGGGGGGGCAAGCGUUGUUCGGAAUUACUGGGCGUAAAGGGUUCGUAGGUGGCCUACUAAGUCAUACGUGAAAUCCCUCAGCUUAACUGGGGAACUGCGUCUGAGACUGGAAGGCUUGAGUGCAGGAGAGGAACGCGGAAUUCCAGGUGUAGCGGUGAAAUGCGUAGAUAUCUGGAGGAACACCGGUGGCGAAGGCGGCGUUCUGGACUGCAACUGACGCUGAGACGCGAAAGCGUGGGGAGCGAACCGG
rnacentral:rRNA from 1 species